AGCUCCUGCCGCCCUACCUGGUGGAAUCAAUUGUCCCAUCCAGGAGCCUUGGCAAUGGUCUCUGUGCAGAGGAAAUAUGAAUCACCAAUGAGAAUUUUUCUUGUCAGAGAAUCUAAGAAGUUGGUCAUACAUAUCCUCAACCUCCAGCCUGCAAAAUGGACCAGUCAUGUGACAGGAAGUCUGUAAGACAGAAUAUUUAUCAAUCUUCUUUCAAACAGAUGCAAAAUCUAAUUAAAACAGAAAGAGGAUUACCUAUUUUUUAUGUUUACUUGUGAAAAAAUUGUUAGAAUGCUAUGAACUAAAAAGCAUGAUAGUUCUGAUGAAUUAUUACCCUGAUCAUUGUAUUUUCUUGGAAAUGAAACAUGUGUCCUUGUGUAGUUUCCAAUAAAUAUCAAAAGACAA